UUGGGGAAUUUUCCGCAAUGGGCGAAAGCCUGACGGAGCAACGCCGCGUGAGGGAUGAAGGCCUCUGGGCUGUAAACCUCUUUUCUCAAGGAAGAAGAUCUGACGGUACUUGAGGAAUAAGCCACGGCUAAUUCCGUGCCAGCAGCCGCGGUAAUACGGGAGUGGCAAGCGUUAUCCGGAAUUAUUGGGCGUAAAGCGUCCGCAGGCGGCCCUUCAAGUCUGCUGUUAAAGCGUGGAGCUUAACUCCAUCAUGGCAGUGGAAACUGUUGGGCUUGAGUGUGGUAGGGGCAGAGGGAAUUCCCGGUGUAGCGGUGAAAUGCGUAGAUAUCGGGAAGAACACCAGUGGCGAAGGCGCUCUGCUGGGCCAUAACUGACGCUCAUGGACGAAAGCCAGGGGAGCGAAAGGGAUUAGAUACCCCUGUAGUCAAU
rnacentral:rRNA from 1 species